GCCGGGAAUGGUGGCGCAUUCCUGUAAUCCCAGAUACUUGGGAGGCUGAGGCAGGAGAAUUACUUGAACCCGGGAGGCCGAGGUUGCAGUGAGCCGAAAUCAUGCCACUACACUCCAGCCUGGGCAACAGAGCGAGACUCUGUCUCAA
rnacentral:SRP_RNA from 1 species